CGGACGGGUGAGUAACACGUAGAGAACCUACCUUACACAGGGGGACAACGGCUGGAAACGGCUGCUAAUACCGCAUAAGCACCCAGUUUCGCAUGAAACAGAGUGAAAAGAGUAAAUCGGUGUAAGGUGGCUCUGCGUCUGAUUAGCUAGUUGGUGGGGUAAAGGCUCACCAAGGCGACGAUCAGUAGCCGGCCUGAGAGGGCGACCGGCCACAUUGGGACUGAGACACGGCCCAGACUCCUACGGAAGGCAGCAG
rnacentral:rRNA from 1 species